rnacentral:lncRNA from 13 species
AUGGAGAGUGAUGAAGCUGGACCAUCCUCCCCUGGGGCUUUGUCCCUUCAAGGCCUUUACACCUCUGUCACUGAUUACUUGGUGUCCAGAAUGUCUAUGAUAUCCUCCAUGAUGUUCUGGAGCGCAUGUAGGGAAGCCAAGGAGAAGCUCCACGUUCUAACAACAGGCAGUGACUGCAGAAUUUCUGGAGCAUCAAGGUUCAACAUAUCAGAGUUGGCAGUCAACGUUUGUCGGGAGAUAAAGGAUGCAGCAAGCAAGGAUCUUCCCUUCUCUGGUGCUGUAAAUAGCUUCCCAGAGGAGAGAAUGGCAACCACGAAUAUGGGAGGUCUCAUAUUUGAGAGAGUUGAAGUCCCUGAUGCUCUUCCAAGCUUCACGCCAUCUCAAGGACGGACAGAGCAGGGAUGGAUGGUUGAGCACAUUGGCUCAGCCGUAAGUGAGGACACCUUGGACAACAUCACAAGCACUCCGUUGUUCCAGAACAUGGACUACAGCCCGGCUACCACACCCUCAGAGGGAAGGGCCUCAACCCUGCACACUCUACAGGACACUAUAACUCAGACAGUCAUGGACCAUGACCUCUUCACAUCUGGAUUGGCGAGCCAAAGUGAGUUCCUCUCCAAAGAGAAGGAACUGGAGCUGGUCAGGGUGGUCAUUGGAAUUCUCAUUGACCAGACUGGUGCCCUUCACUGGGAUAAGACCUGCAUCUCUGCUGAGUCGUUGGUUGACAAAGUGAUAGUGGCCUGUAACAUUGUCAUGGUUAUCCUAAGAAAUUACUAUACAGCCCACAACACAAUUAUUAAAGAGGAUGAGGGCAUGCAGGAGCUCCUGGACCCCAACAUCGAUGGCUACCCCCUGCUGGUACAGUGCCUGAGCCACACCUUAGUGGGAGAUGUGGCCUGUGAGCUGGAGGUCAUGAGGGCUCAGCCUCAGGUCAUCCCAAUCUGGUCCACUAUUAUUGAAGCAGAGCUGAGGAAGGCUAAGGGAAGGGACUCCCAUGAAGCCUUCAGUGAGGAGUCCCUCCCUAUCUUCACACAGAGGCCUGUGGAGGUGCAGCAGGCCAGCAGCCCUGCUAAGAAAAUGGACGAUACCCAGCCUCCCAUCAGUCCCAUUUUAGCCAGGUCUGAGCUUGACAGUAACAGCAGUGGCAGAAGAAGCCAGAACUUAGACAGAGAUGCAGGCGUUACAACCGAUAACAUCUUUGAUGUCAUUGUCAGGCUGGUCUAUGCUGACAGUAUCAGUGCAGAUGAUUGCGGGUUGUACAAUCCUGCAGCUAUGCCCCUGGGACAGAUCCUGGCCUCAAGUAGGCUUUGUAACAGGAUAUUCAGGGGUAAGAUCCAUUUAUUUUCUAAAGAGAUGAUCUGCCGGGUGUACCAGUUGCUCCUGGACACCAAGAUGGGCCGGGAGACAGCAUGCCGAAAAAGCGGGUCGGAGCCUGUUCUCAAAGAAAUGGCGGCCAACCCCAGGCUCUCCAAAAAGUUCUUCACGGACCUGAUCUAUUUUAUCAUAGAGCGGGCAAUGAAGAAUCUGGUGGAAAACUUAUUGGACUUGCCACACAACCCACCAGAAGAAGCACUACGGUUGAAUGAUAACUUGGCAACCUCAUCCAGUGAUGAGUCACUGCAUAGCGACAACACCUGGUCGUGUGGGGUGUGGGACUCUGGUGAGGGAGAGCUCCCUGGACAUGGACUCUUCCAGCUCUUUAAACCAGGACCACUGGGAGGCAGUAGGGACCAUCUGCCAGGUCCUGAGCACCAGGGUGGAAGACAUCCUCCAGGAGACCUGCGACAACCCUAA